rnacentral:rRNA from 1 species
GACGAACGCUGGCGGCGUGCUUAACACAUGCAAGUCGAACGGAAAGGCCCUGCUUUUGUGGGGUGCUCGAGUGGCGAACGGGUGAGUAACACGUGAGUAACCUGCCCUUGACUUUGGGAUAACUUCAGGAAACUGGGGCUAAUACCGGAUAGGAGCUCCUGCUGCAUGGUGGGGGUUGGAAAGUUUCGGCGGUUGGGGAUGGACUCGCGUCUUAUCAGCUUGUUGGUGGGGUAGUGGCUUACCAAGGCUUUGACGGGUAGCCGGCCGGAGAGGGUGACCGGCCACAUUGGGACUGAGAUACGGCCCAGCCUCCUACGGGAGGCAGCAGUGGGGAAUAUUGCACAAUGGGCGGAAGCCUGAUGCAGCAACGCCGCGUGCGGGAUGACGGCCUUCGGGUUGUAAACCGCUUUCGCCUGUGACGAAGCGUGAGUGACGGUAAUGGGUAAAGAAGCACCGGCUAACUACGUG